ACAAAAAACUACACAAAAUUUGAUGAUGACUUCAUUGGUCUGGGUGAAUUGCCAGAAACAUUUCCUUCGGAUCCCCCAGAGCCACUUCCAGUGUUUUUGAUGGAACCGGAGGAAGCCUACAUAGUCAAGAAUAAGCCAGUCAACCUGUACUGCAAAGCCACACCUGCCACUCAGAUCUACUUCAAGUGCAACAGUGAAUGGGUUCACCAGAAGGAGCACACCGUGGAAGAGAGGGUCGACGAGAACUCUGGGCUCGUGGUGAGAGAGGCCAGCAUUGAAAUCACUCGUCAGCAGGUGGAGGAGCUGUUUGGGCCGGAGGACUUCUGGUGUCAGUGUGUGGCCUGGAGCUCCGCUGGGACCACCAAGAGCCGUAAAGCUCAUGUUCGCAUUGCCUAUUUGAGGAAGACUUUUGACCAAGAACCUCUGGGAAAGGAGGUUUCACUCGAACAGGAAGUGUUGCUGCAGUGUCGCCCACCUGAAGGCAUCCCAGCUGCUGAGGUGGAGUGGCUGAAAAAUGAGGAAGUUAUCGAUCCUGCUGAUGACAGAAACUUCUACAUCACCAUCGACCACAACCUGAUUAUCAAACAGGCCCGUCUCUCAGACACUGCCAACUAUACCUGUGUGGCUAAAAACAUCGUGGCAAAAAGAAGAAGCACAACCGCCACAGUCAUCGUAUACGUGAAUGGUGGAUGGUCAACCUGGACAGAGUGGUCAGUGUGUAACAGCCGCUGCGGCCGUGGUUACCAAAAGCGCACACGCAGCUGCACCAACCCGGCGCCUCUCAAUGGCGGAGCCAUCUGCGAAGGUCAAGGCAUCCAGAAGCUACCAUGUAAUCCUCUCUGCCCAGUGGAUGGCCUAUGGACAGAGUGGAGUAAGUGGUCCACCUGUGGGACAGAGUGCACCCACUGGAGGAGGAGAGAAUGCAGCGCCCCAGCUCCUAAAAAUGGGGGAAAGGACUGUGAGGGCCUGGUGCUGCAGUCCAAGAACUGCACCGAUGGGCUGUGCAUGCAGAGUUCCUUGUAUCAGAAGUCCUCUGAGGCAAAAGACAGAAGUGAUUUGGGAAGUUCAUUGGCCCCCAGCACGGAUGAUGUGGCUCUCUAUGUGGGUAUUGUCAUCGCCGUGAUCAUGUGUCUGGUUAUCUCCCUGGCCGUGGCGCUAUUCGUCUACAGGAAAAACCACAGAGACUUUAACUCUGACAUCAUCGACUCCUCCGCCCUCAAUGGAGGCUUUCAACCAGUCAGCAUCAAGACAGCACGCAAAGCGGAUCUCCUCACAGCACCCCCUGAUCUGACCUCAGCAGCUGCAAUGUACCGCGGCCCCGUUUACGCCCUUCACGACGUGGCUGACAAAAUCCCCAUGACCAACUCCCCUCUGCUGGACCCGCUUCCAAACUUGAAGAUUAAGGUGUACAACUCCUCAGGUUUGGUGACCCCACAGGAUGACCUGGGAGGGGAAUUAUCCUCUAAGCUGUCACCUAAACUGCCGCACUGCCUGCUGGAUCACAGUGACGGCACCAUGGGCCGCCGCACACAGACCCAGACACUGCUCCGUGGCAGGGACCCAUCCUGCACCGCUCUGGGCUCCUUCAGCUCCCAGGGGGGCCACCUCAUUGUACCCAACUCAGGUAACAUUUACUCAGGAUACUCUGUGUAUUUUGAUCCCAAAAAAACAAAAAAUAUGUUGACCUUAGACAGCAUGUGCAGACGAGGCAAAAAAAGAAAUGUAAAAGUUACUACUGUGGUUACUUUCAUCUCCCACAUUAAUUUUGGUCAUAAAUCGUGCCAUGGUCCCCUUGCAUACAGUAAACUGAAGCUUAAAAAGAGACACCUUGUGAUGUUGGCUCAACGUUGGCUCAUUACACCUGGUGUCUUCUCUCAUUGGCAGGAUUCUCAGAACAUAGACACGUCUCUGUUGGACCCUGCCAGCAACAUCACGUCACUCGUGGGGCCAAACGCCUUCCGUAUCCCCGUCUCCAUCCGACAGAAGUUGUGUGGCAGCCUGGAUGCUCCGCAGACCAGAGGCAAUGACUGGAGGAUGUUAGCCCACAAACUGAACCUUGACAGGUAUCUGAACUACUUUGCUACCAAAUCCAGCCCUACAGGAGUGAUCCUAGACCUGUGGGAGGCUCAGCAUUUUCCUGACGGCAACCUCAGCCGCCUUGCCCAAGUGUUGGAGGAGAUGGGACGCCACGACGGCCUUCUUCCUGCCAUGAUGGAGCACUGACAUCUAACCCUCCAGGGGAUGUGACAUUCCAGGGAGGAAGAAGACUCCAAAUGGAUCGGAAAAUGGAGGCUCCUAUAAGCAGGAGAGUGGUGUGGCAUCUCAGUGACAAACACACACACACACACACACACUCAAAGAUGUGAGAUGACGGGAAGAGCCAUGACCCAGUUAGACACCGGCAACAAAUGGUGUAAAAACAACCUUGUGGAGUAAACAACAUUCCCUGGCUGUUCCCUUUUCUCUCAACACACGUCAAACAUUGACUUCAGAUUUUUUGGCUUGUUUUGAUGGACUCUCGGUAUAACAGGAGACAAAUGUCAGAGGUCCGAAAAAAAGUCAAAAGAUGAAGAUUUUGUCAGCGGGACCAUCUCUCAGGCUUCUAAACAGUUUCCAUAGCAACUCCCCAUGGACAAGGAUGUACUUUCUGAUAAGAUGGUAUUUAAUUUCCAGCUUAUUUAUGCAUAUCUGAUAUCGUAUUUCAUGCUCUCUGUUGCUGAACACUUUGCAGUGUAAAGGUUUGUGUUCCUUUUAUUAUGUUGAACUGUAUCACAGCACCACCUGGUGGCCUUCUGGUGCUAGAACAACUCAUUCUGUCUGCCACAUUUAGAAAAAAUCAACAAUCAAGUUAGAAUUUUAGUGUCAUUGCUGUUGAUGACAAUUUUAUAUUUGUGUUAUUGAAAUUAUUGAUGCUGUUAGGUGCAUUUCUUUUAUAUUGUUUUUUUUUUCUUUUUUAAAGGGUUAUUAAUUAUUUUUAACAUUCUGAAUUGUUGAUCAUGUUUCUUUAAUCUGUGACUUUGUAUUUCUUGGCAACUUACAUUUCUACGAUUUAUAGAGCAGUCAAAACAUUUCCCAAAACAUGCAGAUGACUUAACAUUCUGUUUAAAGAUGAUAUUACUCAUGCUAACUGUGCCAGGCAGACGAGGACACUUUAGAACAAGAUAUUUAAAAUAUAUUUUUAUAAAAAGAAACAAGUGCAAGAGAAAGCAACUGCUUUUUACCAAAUAAUUCACACGCAUACGAUGUUUUGAGGGUGAAUUCACGACAGAAAGGGUUCAUUUCCCAUUAGGAUCACUGAGAUUGUAACUCAGUGUUUCUGAUAAUGUUCAGGAUGUUUGUAGACUUAUAACAGCAGAAUGUGCGACUUUUCAAGUGUUCUUUGUUGGCCAUUAAACUUGAUUCAGUUUUCUAAGUUGUUAGAGUUCUUGUAAAGCUGUCUAUGCAAACUGUGCAUCCUUUGAAAACAAUCUUUUCACACUCGGCAAAUUCUCUAUGGUUCUUCUUCUGCUUUCUUAUUGUUGUGUAUAGUGAGAAUGUAGCCUGUCUGUUUCUGGCACUCAGCAUCUAUCCGUCAAGGUAUUGUACAAAGUGUAAGAAAGAUUUUUUUUUUUUUAAUUAUUAUUAUUAAUAAUAAUAAAUUAUAUUUAUAUGCAACA
ensembl:lncRNA netrin receptor UNC5C-like